GGGCUGUAUGUAGCUCAGUGGCAAAGAAUCUGCUUUGCAUUCAGAAUGUCCCAGGUUCAAUUCCUGGCAUCUCCA